CAGUAAGGUUUUUACAUACAGUAGUACAUAUUACAUACGUACAUAACUUUUUUUUACAGGAAUUUCCAACCAAGUUUGAUUAUGUACAUAUGUACAUGUUAUAAACCACUGUACGUAUGGUUACUGUAUGUAACUUACUAAACAUACAUAACAUGACUUAACUUUGAUACUUUUUGGUACAUUCCAGAAAACCAGGACCCCCUCCAUGAUGCAGGCUAUGGGGCCACAUAAAACUUUGUCCAGGGUUACUACAUAACAUAAAGAACCCCCUGAAUGAUGUAGGCUAUGGGGCCACAUAAGACUUUGUCCAUCCAGGGUUACGUUGAAUGCCUAAUUUAAACUAAAGAACCCCCUGAAUGAUGUAGGCUAUGGGGCCACAUAAGACUUUGUCCAUCCAGGGUUACGAUGAAUGCCAAAUUUAAACUAAAGAGCUACCAGACUGGGAUUUUAGUGUACUCCAGGAUCUAACAAAUACAUACGUACUACUACGAAGUGUACAGUGCAUAAUAUAUAGUGUUUAGUGUAUAAUCUAACCUAAGGAUUAAGUGUAGUACAUUGUGCUUUUUAGUGUCACAAGAGUUUAAUAAAGAAUUAUACCUUCAAGAACCAUCCUUUGCCAUUGGAAUAACCACACUACACAUCAUGCAAUCUACUUGCAUGUCACACAGGUAAGGUCUCUAACUUUUUCUUAGUUUAAGGCAUAUUUCCAAGUGUCGUUCCGGCUUACGACGAUUUUCGGCUUACGACGCGCCUCAAGAACGGAACCCCCGUCGUAACCCGGGGAC